rnacentral:rRNA from 1 species
UACGGAGGAUACGAGCGUUAUCCGGAUUUAUUGGGUUUAAAGGGUGCGCAGGCGGACCGUUAAGUCAGGGGUGAAAAGUUGGGGCUCAACUCCAAUCGUGCCUUUGAUACUGGCGGACUAGAGUGCAGGGGACGUGACUGGAAUGUGAUGUGUAGCGGUGAAAUGCUUAGAUAUGUCACAGAACGCCGAUCGUGAAGACAGGUCACGAAUCUGCAACUGACGCUCAUGCACGAAAGCGUGGGGAU